UACGUAGGUGGCAAGCGUUGUCCGGAAUUACUGGGUGUAAAGCGCGUGUAGGCGGGAGGCCAAGUCUGUGGUGAAAGCCCCCGGCUCAACUGGGGAGGGUCACGCGAUACUGAUCGACUCGAAGGCAGGAGAGGGAAGUGGAAUUCCCGGUGUAGUGGUGAAAUGCGUAGAUAUCGGGAGGAACACCAGUGGCGAAGGCGACUUCCUGGCCUGUUCUUGACGCUGAGGCGCGAAAGCUAGGGGAGCAAACGGG
rnacentral:rRNA from 1 species